GACUGUUAAAGAGGCUCUCAUUUCGGGAGUCGGGACUUUCAGGAGCCCUACUGUGGCCUGGUGAUAAGGAGUGAUGUCCCAAGAGAGUGACCAUCAACUGACCAGGAAGGUGGGACACGUUUUGAAGAGCAUGAAUGUGACUCUGGAAAUGGAGGCAGCUGGAGUGGUUUACAAGCAUAGAGGCAAUUUCCAGCGUAGUCACAUGCAGCUCCAAGAAGUUAAUUCGGGUGAUGAGAGGUGGUGUUUUAGCGAGAGUGGGUAUUUCAAUUUUAGAUUUAAUAACACAUUGUGAUAAUUGUGGCUGAUUGUCAUACCUAAAGUGACCCAGAGAUAAUGAAACUUAAAAGGAAUGACUUACGUUCUUCAGUUCCUACCUUCUCACUAACCUCUCCGUCCGAGUUUUAAAAUAUCCUCGAGGACGCCAUUUGGGACUACCACAGAGGAGCCUAAAUUUGGGGAGAGAAACUCAUUCCGAGUAGUAAGGAAAGAACUGGGUGAAUUGGGGGCACUUGCUGCAGCCUCUGCUAAAUGGCUUCCCAACCUGAGAGGGACUUCUGCCUGUUACUUGGGCACAAGGCAGGACCUGGAGGAAUUCAUUUGAACUCUGUGGUCAGCAAGGAGCGUCUUGGAAGGUGGAGGAAGUUGGAAGGUUGAGAAUGACUAAUGAAAAAUAGAACGAUAUGCUGUAACACAAGCUGAACAAUGAGGGACAUUUAAUCUGGAGAGCCAGAGCCCAGGAAGCCAGCUGCGACUUGGAUGUAAUCUUUCUAAAAUAUGAAGGUCACAGUAAAAUGAAUCAGCCUUGUGAAUUUUUUUUUUUUUUACCUAUUACCUAACACAGGAGGAGGAACAUAACUGAAUUUGAAAACCACAAUUAUAUCAGGAGAAGAAAGUCCUUUGUGAGCUGUGCCACAGAUGAUGGCAUUGGAUGCUAUAGGUGGUCGAGAAGAAAUCCAGAUCUCCCGGCUGCAUAGUAACAUCAGGGCCUCACAGAUGUGCGUUCCGGGCCCAGGCCUAAGUCCUGCCAGACACAUUCUUGAGGCAGUUGCUGUGCUCGGAAAGUUUCCAAGUGGCUGCCAACACUGAGGACAGUUCCAGGCCGUUACCCCCAACCUCAAACCUCCCAGCAC
rnacentral:lncRNA from 1 species